GGACCUAUAUAUCCACUCCCCCAUAACAUCUUUGUGGUGUAGUGCUUAAUUAGUUAAGCACAGGGACAAUUUUACCUGUACCAUAGUACCUCCAGUUAAAAUGUUGUCUGUCUGCUCUUAGAAAUAAUCACUUAUUCUAUAUCAGCAUAUUGAGCCACUGAAGAUCACAGUUCACCUGAUCUUUGGUCUGUGUAUUUUGUGAAAAGGAAGUUGUAUAAUAUAGUAAUGACUGAUCAUUCUCUAUUCUGUAUUCUGAUCUACAUCAACCGUACUAUAUAUAAUUUUAAAAUAUUUUUGAUAUUGUAAAAUAUCUAGCAAUAAAAGGAACAGAAUUACAUACAUAUGCCAAGGUUAGUUACCCCUGCUAGCUUAGAAUUUCACUCUUCUAUAAUAAAGAUCUGUGUGUACUGAAAAUUGAAGACAGCAAGAUGCAAAACACUGUGAAUGUGUGUUAUGUAUAUGUAUAUACGAAUUAGAUUAAUUUCAUGGGAAUGAAUCCUUCCUGAGAAACCACAAGUCACUUGGCUACUCAAGAAUUUCCCAAAAUUUAAUGAACCAAAAUGUUCAUUACUCUGUUCAAAAGAGCCUGCCACUGGCCCCUAUCCUAAGGCAAAGUAACCCAAUCCAUAUUACCCUACCUUAUUUCUGUAAGAUCCAUUUUAAUAUUACCUUCCUACUGGCCUCUUUUUCCUUCUGGCUUUCACACCAAAACCCUAUAUGCAUUCUUCUGCUCCUCCAUCACUUGCCUAUCUCAUUCUCUUUGACAUGAUUAUGCUGAUUAUAUUUGGUGAAGAGUACAAGUUACAAAGCUCCUCGUUAUGCAGUUUUUUCCAACCUCCUAUUCAUUCCUAUUCAGUCCACGUAUUCUCCUUAAUGCCGUUCUCAAACACCAUCAGUCCACAUUCUUCCUUCAAUGUCAGAGACCAAGUCUCACACUUAUACAAAACUGCAGACAAAUUAGUUUUGUAUUUUUUAAUUUUUACAGUUUUAGACAAGAAAUGAUCAGACAAACGGUUCCCAACCGAUUGGUGGUAAGCAUUAACAGAAUUGAAUAUGUUCUUAAAUUUCCUCAUGAAUCAAAUUUGCAGUUAUUACUGUCAUUCCAAAAUAUUUGAACUUUGCCACAUUUUCAAAGGAUCUGUUGACUAUCUUUACAUGAUGAUUUUGCCAUGCAUUCUGGUGACCGACACAUUAACUUAAACAUUAUUUUCUCUGUCUGCUUCUAGACCAACCUUAACAGCAUCCACUGGAGCUUCUGUGUUUCUCUUUCUAGUAUUUUGUCCCAUUCAGUUUCAGUCCCACCUAAGUUUAUUUGGAUCUUCCUAAUGGCAUAUCUUAAAGCAUCUUGUUGUCUUAGAAUAAUCUGAAUAGGAAACAUAUCGCAGAUGUUUACCUGUAUGGACUUCUUUCAUUUAAACACAUUUUGAUAACCCCAGCUAGUUCCAUGGGUACCACAAACUCUGAAAGUACUGUAUCACACACUUGCUUUAAGUCUAUGUGUAGAUGAUGUACUGUCUCAUUUUACUCCCUACUUUUUCUCCAGUAUCUGAUUAAUUAAAAAAAAAUGAUAAAAACCCACAGUGAUGACCCCAUUAUUUUGUUUCCAUAUGGACUUGGCCUUGAGAUAAGGAUGUUUGAUUCAUAUCUUUUGUGAAGUUUAUAACAGUGAUAUGCUUCACCCUUCUUGUAAUUAGUAGAAUAAUUGACUCCUUCCACUGUUCAGGCAAUUCUCCCCAAUUCCAGAUAUAAUGAGUUAUGGAUCUCAGAACAUAAUGUUUCACUUAAUUUCUGCCAAAAUUUGAUCAAUAUCUGAUACUGCCUAGUAUCACUAAUACUAUGUACCUUUUAGUAGCUAACAAAUUAUUGUGGGAAUCUACAAGCAGAUCAUCCUUAUCCAACUUAGUUACAGGUAGGUAACCCUCCUUAAACUCAUUUAUUCCUCUACAUAAGUCUAAUGUUGUUCAGACUGCCGCAAGCUCCAUAAUUUUGUCUUUCAGAUAUCCCUUUUUUGUUCCUGAAAUAUCUGCUACCUUCACAUCUUGCAUUGUCCGAUUACAGUUAUUUGGCUUCAAUCCUGUAACCACUGCAAUCUGAGUUGUUUCCUUUGAACUAAUAGUUCUGAACAUCCUUCACUGAACCAUGGGUUAAUCUGAUCUUGGUUAUUACAAACUGAAUGUGCAGACACAAGGCUGUGAAAAUGUCUUGAUUUUCCUUCCUUUUUGAAGCCUGAACCAUUUUUUUCUUGAACGUGAAAUCGUAUGAAUGAAUUGGUUUACAGUCUACCAGUUUUGUUACAUUUUCUCUUUCACUGUAUGUGUUUUCAUCACCACUGCAGUAAAACUGGACAACGGUGCAGACAGAGUUGAAGGUAAUUUUGUUUCAAAUAAAAGUAUAAUAAUUCUAUAAGGCUGCACACUUGAUUAGUGACAGAUAGAAUCUAAUCUGAAUGUAAAUAAUGACCAGUGUAUCUACAAAUGUGUGUGCACUUGGGUUUUACUUUUUGUUACAAUAGUAGUCUCAUUUUACAUACAAUAUACACUUUUGUUUGAUCUUUGUUAUAAGAUGCAACUUGCCAGUCCUGGUGGUCACAGUGUCAAGGUAUGCAUAGUCUCAGGCUACAGGGACAUGGAUGAAGAGGAUAUCAAGUCUGAAGUCCAGCAGCAGCAAUGGCAAUACAGAAAAGCAACUAAUUGUACUAUGUCCUUGUAAUAGAUUCAGGGCUGUCAGUUCCACUACUAGUCCACUUCUCCAUGGCCAAUUGCGAUGUAAAGAAUGUCAGACAUGUACACCUGAGUGGUCCAAAUAUCUGCAAGAAGCCCUAAAAUACACUGUACUUGUAUAAAUUUGUAAUACCCUAAGCUAUGUGAAACUUCAAAAGGUUAAAAGGAAAUUUGGAAUAUCAACUUGAAAAUGCUAACACACAUUCUACAAGAUGCACUUUGCUUUAAUUUGCACUAAAAGUAGAAUGUGAAGAUUAUUUAUAAAUUACAAAAUCCAAAUGAAUAUAUUAUUUUGCAAUGUAUUAAGUUUUCUGACAUUCCUACCUUCACCUGAACUUUUUAGUAUCGAAGCACUGGAAUUUAUUUUACUUUUAUUCACAGCACUUGAUAGUAUAAAACAGUGCCAUAAUUUUAUACUUUCAAUAUACACAAAUUUUUAAACUGUAAUCAGCAGCUUUCAAUUAAUGUACAUUAAUGCACCUUCACAGCAGAAAAUACUUCAGUUAAAAACAUUACUUUCUACCAACAUUGCUGACAGCUUUCAUACUGAACUAUUUAACUACAAUAUAUUUGAUACACAAUUUUGAAUAUUUUUGUAUUUGGUAAAGUGCUUAACAACUGUGCCAGGCUUUCAAACUACUUUUGUAGUUUUAAAUCUGUGACCCUAAGACAAGUGACUGUGAAAAAUCACAACACUGUAAUGCUCUUUAGCAUACCCUGAAUAAAAAUGCAAAAACUGAA